rnacentral:lncRNA from 1 species
UGAGAUCCGCGAAGUGUAAGUUGUUUAUUAGUCAAAUUUAAAUACAUAUUUCUUUUCUAUAAUGGUCAAAUCUAUCAAGAGUCCAUGGCUAAUUCUCACAUGUGUUCUUUUUGUGUUUUUUUAUUGAAGGUUCAUAUUCAAAUCACUCAGAUCAAUGGUGACAUCAAACAUUAUUCGCGUCUUCGUCUUAAGUUGAAAUAGUACUAGUGUAUGUGGUGAUUCCAAAAAUCAUAUAUGAAUUGCCAUUGUUUUCUCUGAUUUGGCCGAACCCUAUAAGGUGAUUAGAGGCUAAUUUCUAACAAUUACUUCCUUGUGUUAGGUACAAAUUAAACCAGAUUUAAUCAGAUCUGAAGCAUAGGAGCUGCAGACUAGUGUUAGUGCUUCAGAUAUGCAUUAUUCAGGUAUGGGUCCUAACUUUGUAUGGUUGGUGAUUGUUGAAAUCAUGUUUGUACUUUAUUGGCAUUGGUCGAAUGUUAUAGGGCCUUAAAGUGUAAAUAACCAAGUGUGUAAGUGUUAUAAGUGUUAACUGAUUGUAU